UACGUUCCCGGGCCUUGUACACACCGCCCCGUCAAGCCAUGGAAGCUGGGGGUGCCUGAAGUCGGUGACCGCAAGGAGCUGCCUAGGGUAAAACUAGUAACUAGGGCU
rnacentral:rRNA from 1 species